rnacentral:lncRNA from 1 species
UCCCGCAGACGGUCUCGGUGUGCGAGUGCAGAUUCUCCUCACCUAUGAGAUUGAAAGUGAGUCGGGGUUAACCCCGGGGUGGCAACCUUCGGGUUAGCCAUGAGAUUGGAUACUAUCGAGGCAUAGUUGCACGACGCACUAUGUAGUAGCUCGUUCAUUUGGAUUAUUGAGGCAUAGUAGCAUGUGCAGAUACAUCACUAUAUAGCAGCUCAUUUCUUUAUUGUUGAGACAUAGUAGCAUGUUGUAGAUACAUCACUAUGUAGUAGCUCAUUUCUAUUGUUGUUGAAGCAUAGUAUCAUGAUUAGUAGAAUAUCAUUGCUAUGUUCAUGCAUUCCAUGAUUACAGAGGCAUAGUAGCAUGUGUAUAUUCCAUUACUAUGUAGCAGCUCGUACUUAGUAGAGCGAGAUUGAGUCGGGCGAGGAGCGGGGUAGCUCUUUGCCUAGGACCUUCGAGAUUGAGUCGGGCAAGGAGCGGGGUAGCUCUUUGUCUAGGACCUUUGAGAUUUGAGAUCUUAGGCAAGUUGGCCUAGUCGAUUGGGUUGUAACAUGAAUAGCAUAAGUGGAUUGCAUUCAUGCCAUGAUUGGACAUAGUAGACUGCAUAACUAUGUUGUAGUUGUAUUUAUUACACUGUUGAAGCAUACUAGCAUGAUAGUAGGUUAUUGCUAGAUGAUGUUCCAUGCAUUCUUUGCAUUUGAUGGCAUAGUAGAUAUAGUAGCAAUGUAUUUCUAUCUACCUUUCUAUCUAUCUAUCUGUGCCAGCUUGGACCUAGUGGGAAAACCGGCGGCGUCGGCGGCCGAACCCACUGGGAACUAUAUUUAUAUAGUUCUCACCCCGUGUGGUUUUGGGGUAUAGGUACACACGAGAGCGUACCGGCAGAGGACCGUGGUAAGGGCACAGCGCCCUAGUAGCUAGUAGCUUUCCUUAUGCAUUAGAGUGCCCUCGUGUACAUAGAGAUGUAAAUGUAUUUGGAAGUUACUUAUGUAUUUGGAAAGACAUUUUGUAUUAUGAGAAUAAUAUGUAUUCAUUUGGGAAGAUGAAAAUGUAAAUCAAUAUGAAAAUUGAGGUUGAAUGAAUGUAAUAGCUAGAUGUAUCUCUCUUUAUUUCACUUGUAUGUUACUUGUGAUUCUUGCUCUUAGAUGUAUUGCACCUGUGUGCAUCGUGUUCGAUCAUGUAUGUUAUUUAAGCAUUCCCUGGGCGCUUAACUGUACAUGAUCUGGUUGCUUAGCCUUGGGCGGACAGGAGAGGUGCUGUCCGUUCGGCGUCUGAUCGACGUGCCCGGAUCUUGCCAAAUUGGCGGGUCGCGGGGCGUGACAGAUGGUCGUGGUAUCAGAGCAAGCUAAGAGCAAGUAAAGAGAGAGUUUAGGAUGACCUAGGAGACCCUAGGACAGUAAACCGUAAGGUUAUAGGUGCGUGAGUGGAACGUGAACCUAUAACGGUGGCGGAAGUUGAAUCGAUUGGGUCAAGUUAGUAAACCUCUAAGACAGAUGUUAGAGGUGGAUUCAAGGUUCAAUUUAUUCUCACUAGAGGAUGUUCAUGUUGGAUGCAUACAACAUGAAACCGAGAGAUGAGAAUAGGCACCCUUGUAUGACUUUCGCCUGAUUUGAGUCAAGCUGAUGUUAGUUGUUACGUGUUCGACCUAGAGGGUCGAGACCAACUGUGUUGUCGCGGUUUAGGAGAUCGACAAUGGUACCGCGUAGGCGAUCUUCGUUUAGAUCGGCGCGGGACGGGACAAGUGAUGUCCCAGAACGAUUCAAGCGAGCGGAGAAUGCAAACUUCGCUAUUGGUUGGCCACGCUCGUGGGAGUGAUGAGGCCACGAGUCGGUGGAUCGGUUGGCGAUCGCACCAGUUUUGGCACGUCGAGUACGGCCGGGAUUCGCGACGGAGGUGUUUCCGUCGGGGUCGGGCAAUCCGACUUCUAGCACUCCAAAGGUUGAGGCGGUGAGGGAGCGAGCGUCGAUGGCCCUCAUGAUUUUUACGGAAUUUGAUCCGCCUACCUUUGAUGGAGAGAAUGUAGAUCCGCAGAUUGUGGAGUUGUGGAUUGAUUCCAUGGAAACUCUAAUAGAGGAUCUAUGCUUAGUGCAAACGGGAGUUCUCCCAUAUCUCCAGUUACAUCCUAAACAUAGUACGGGAUGACGACGAUAUGGCCGAUUUGUUUGUGCGGAGACUUCGGCUAAAUAUUGUCAAGGUUGUGCAUGUAAGGAAGUGAAUUCUCGAAAUUUGAGAGUUUGACUUCGUUUAAAAUCGACCAUGUGUCGAGUUGGUGCACUUCGGAAUGUCCGAAAAUGCCAAAGAGGCAAAGAGUGCAUCGUAACGGACCUCGCCUUUCCCGUCUGUUGCAUCGGCUUUGGCGAUUUCGGGCCAUUAUGAAGGAGCCCUACCUACUGUUGCUUUAGCUAGACGCGCGAUGGCACCUCGUCAGCCAGAGGUGGCCCGUCGACUACGAGUGGCUGGGUGUUUGCCACUCAAGUCGAGGAACUUGCUGCCGCUAAUGAUGUCUUGGUAGGUAUGGCUUAAUACAAGCAAGCAGGUAUUUCGGCGUAAUGCGGAAUAGAUGCAUUGCAGACAUUUCCAUGGUCAGUUGCUACUAAUUAUGCAUUAGUAUAGUAGGGACCAGUGGANUCUUGCUUCUUCUUCUUCUUCUCCAAGCCCUAGAGCAAGAGUUCUAGAGAGAGAAAGAGAGGAAAAGGGAGAGAAGGGUAAAAUGGCUGUGGGAGAGAGAGGGGUGUCCACAUAUAGUGUUGUGACAAUUGCAUUUAAGCCCCUCAACUUAUUUCCCCUUGAUCUGCCCAGACUGGGCGUUUUUCGCCUUCGGGGACCAGUCUCCCCGACCAGGGACCGGUUCCCGAACGUGGGUGUUCCAGGACUUAGCCAAAUUUUCUAGUCUUUCGGCUGUUGCACAGCGAGGGACCGGUCUGCCCCUUCAGGGACCGGUCUCCCAAGGACCGGUCUCACUACCAGGGACCGGUUGCCUCAAGACUUCCUGGCAGGCUACGCGUACGGGGACCGGUCUCUCCUUCAGGGACCGGUCCCCGAGAGCACAAAAUCUGGGACUUAGCCAGAUUUCCAGAUUACUCUCUCGGGUCCCUUUUAGCCUCACUUAUGGACUCUAAUGUGCUCAUGGUCCACUCAAACUCAUUCAUCUCCGCAGUCCGCUCAUUUCGACGGAACUCGGCACGAUUUACGAGGGAUGUGGUAUGUUACAUGGAGGAAGUAGCACCAAGGAGUAAAAGAGAAGAUCAAACCACUAAAUAUCAUGCAAAAAGGGGAUCAAAUCCAAAGAGGGGAAAACAGGAGGUCCCCUACCUUGUCUCCACUGCCUCUCAGCUCAGGGAAGGCCCUAAGGAGCGUGGGGUAUGUAUAGAGUUGCUACAAAAGCGAAUACACCCCUCAAAGCUGCAGUUCUCGCAGUCUGCCAAAGUGUAGCGGUACACGGAAAAGUGUACCGGUACAAAUCCCGCGAACUCACAAACCCGACCUUCGGGUUGGCUAAAAACCACAAAUGUACCGGUACAACUAUCAAAGUGUACUGGUACAAAAUGUGUUCCAGUACAACCAUCAAGAUUGUACCGAUACACAACCCUGCUGAAGCAAACCCGAGAGCAAACCAAACAUUCAACUUUUUGGAUUUUGGUGCACAGUUAUAAACCUCAAUUCUCGGGAUGUGAGCCAUAGGUCGGAACACUGUCUACGACCCUCCAGAAUAUCUGGAAAAACUCAGAUCACAGAUUAAACAAUCGAACCUUGCAAUUUGCAAAAAUCCAGUGUGUUACAUUCUCCCCUCCUUAAAAGGAGUUUCGUCCGCGAAACUGCGGGUCAACCACGAAACAGACCCAUCCAAAAAGGAUGGAAGAAGCGCUCCAACAGCGCAUAGAUCAGACCAUGAAGGUCUCAAGCAUGACGGAAUGCUCCUCGGCAAAACACACAAGGUCCCACGAUGCCAAGACUUGGCAUAACUCAAGUAAAGCUUCCACUGAAGUUCUUCGAACUCAAGGCUUUACCGGAAGUUCCAUCUCUAGUCCGUGCCUGAUCACCAAGUCCAUCAGUCGGUUCUCACGAAACCAAGUAUUCCCAAAAGCUGAAUUCUCGUUCUCACCUUCCUCGUUCAAGUCGAGGGUAGGCCUUGCUCUGCUUCAAUUACUCUAGUAUAUAGAAUUCCAUCCAAAUACCUGUAGGAUACCGAACUUCUAAAAUUAUGAAGUUACGGUGGGAUGUAAUAUGCGGAUUUUAAUGUAAAAAGGGAAAUAAAUAAAAAUAGUAUGAGAUACUAUUUUUAUUAGAUUUAGAGAAGUGAAAUAUAAGUUUGGAAUGACCCGUGUUGAAAUCAGAGCGAAAACAGAAGAUUUAGAUUUUCUGUGAGAAACGGGGCAGAUAAAUUAGCAGAAAAUGCACAGUCUCAGAAAAUUAUGAAAACUAGCGGGGAUGCCAGAAAUAUUUUAAUGAGGCUAGAUUUAGAGUUUCAUAUUUUUCUGACACCCGUAGAGUGAGAACUAAAAUCCGACAGUUAUCUGAUAAAGAUUACAGUUCGGUACAGCUUUCGGUGACCAAACGGGGUCGAAACUGAAAGAUUAAAAUUUCUUUCGUUAAGUUAAGCAAAACCGAAUAUGACUGUCAAAUUUGAGCUCAAACGGAUAUUCAGGGAGUUCCGGCGAAAGAUAUCAGAUUUGGAGCUGCCUGAUGUGAAUAGUGUAUGCUACUAUUGAGGGUUGACUAUAAGUAGAAGCUUCUAGUGACUUGGCUUCUUCUUCACAGCCAAGCACCACCCCCACAAGAGCACGUUCAUGGUGUAGUGAGAGAAACCCUCUCUUUCUCUCUCUAAAUAUCUCUCUCAUCUCUCUAGAUCUUUCGCCCAAAUUCGCGGCGUUGGUGGAGAUCGAGCUUGCGAACGCGUUGGGAGCGACGGAUCGAGUUUUCGUGCGCCCGUUGGAUUGGCGUGCUUUCGUCUCGGCGUUCAUAUUUUGGUAAGCUAUCGGGAUUUGGCUUAAUCCUUAAGUUUAAGUGUUCUAAUAGCCUCUAAUGUGAAGUUAGCUUGUUAAAUCCUUAAUAUUUGGAUUGUUUGGAGCAUAUGUUGAGGCUAAGGUGUGAAAAUGGGGGUUUACAAAUUAGGUGGGGUUUGAUCUAAUUUGACCCUUCGUAAACCUAAUUGCUAGGUAAACGAACGCGUUGGUGAAGUCGGUUCGGCGAUUCGUCGAGCCUACGCGAAGUUAUUAAAGAAACAGACGUUUAGGCUUCGUUUCCGCCUGGAGGGCCGAGGCGACGUCGUAAAAUCAUGAAAAUGGAUUUGAAGCAUCGUGGCACAUAACCGAAGACCUUUAAUUUUCGGAUCGUGAAUUGGAGGCCGUUCGGGUGGUCGCGCGAGAGAUCGGGCCAAACCGGGUGCCGGGUGCCGCGGGAGGCCGAUUGCAAGUGUCGACAAGCAAUCGGAAUGCGAUAAAAGGUGGGGGGUGUCAUCCCGAAGCAACUGAGCUUCCUUUUAUGUCUAAGUUCUAUAUCUUGAUCAUAUUCCUAUAUGUUGAUAUAUUGUGCAUUAUAGGAUUAGUAGAUGAUUACAUUUCCAUUCCUUGCAUGUUACCUAGGUUGUGUAGCAUUGUGGGCUUGACACUUGAUCUUAGGUUGCAUGAGGAUUGGGUCUUGUGACAAGAAUCCUAUAGUGACAAGAAUGAUGAUGAACUUGGACAUGUAAUUGGCCUAGACGAGUGGCAUUUGGACUAGUGUAACAAAGACACUAUAAUAUUGACGAGUGGCAUGUCGAUUUAGUGUAUUAAGACACAUAUAACAUCAUGACAUAAACGAGUGGCAUCAAAUCUAGUGUAGUGAAACACUAUGGCAUUUGAACCUAGGGAUAGUAGAUUUUCCCGAUUGUCAUGUUGUAGACAUUAUGCAUUUGGCAUUAGUGCAUUUGAGGCAUUGAUUAUGCAUUUGGUAUUGUGCAGCAGAGGCACAUUGACCCUGGUAGAUAGGGUAUCCUCUUGUGAGGAUUGGAUCAUACUCACUAGUCUGUUUUUGCUUGUCGGUGGUCGCUCCACCGAAGCACGAGUCUCCGGAGUACUUCACUAGGGGCAGACGUAGUUGUCCCGCAGACGGUCUCGGUGUGCGAGUGCAGAUUCUCCUCACCUAUGAGAUUGAGAGUGAGUCGGGGUUGACCCCGGGGUGGCAACCUUCAGGUUAGCCAUGAGAUUGGAUACUAUCGAGGCAUAGUUGCACGACGCACUAUGUAGUAGCUCGUUCAUUCGGAUUAUUGAGGCAUAGUAGCAUGUGCAGAUACAUCACUAUGUAGUAGCUCAUUUCCAAGCAGAUUGGGUAAAGAAUAUGAAUGGCAUAGCAGAUUUGCAUUCAUACCUUGAGUUGACAUUGAGACAUAGUAGCAUGUUGUAGAUACAUCACUAUGUAGUAGCUCAUUUCCAUUAUUGUUGAAGCAUAGUAUCAUGAUUAGUAGAAUAUCAUUGCUAUGUUCAUGCAUUCCAUGAUUACAGAGGCAUAGUAGCAUGUGUAUAUUCCAUUACUAUGUAGCAGCUCGUACUUAGUAGAGCGAGAUUGAGUCGGGCGAGGAGCGGGGUAGCUCUUU